ACUAACAUGAUAAACAUAUUUUUUUUUCACUGAGUAAAAACCAGUUCUCUAACUAACUCUGACGUCAACCAAACUAUUUGUUUAACACAUGUUAUUAGCAUAACAACGUUAUAUGACUUAUAAAAUAAAAGACGAACGGAUGACUGGCACAUUAUCUAUUGAGACAUUAUUGUAACCAGACGUUUUAAAAAUGGCGUCUUAUUUGGUUCCUAUAUGUUUUUUGUUUGUGGUGUUAACAAUUGUUUCUUCUGCACCACCGGAUGAUAAACCUUUGGAUUGCCCAGAAAACGAAGAAUACUAUUACUGCAAGCUAUUUCGUUGUCAGAGAAGUUGUGAUGACUUUAAGGAACAAACUCCAUGUCUUCCUCUAUUACCAGGGUGUCAUCUGCCAGCAUGUGAAUGCGUGAGCGACUACUAUAGGAAUAAGGAUGGCAAAUGUGUGCCAGAAGCGGAAUGCUAAAGGCAAAAAAAUGAAAUAAAAGGCUAGAAAUAAUUUUUAAUAA